GCAUACUGCUCAGUGGUUGGAGCAUCUGCCUAGUGUCUGGAGGUCGCAGGUUCAAAUCCUGCAGUGUGCA
rnacentral:tRNA from 1 species